rnacentral:misc_RNA from 1 species
UAGAAACUAACAGACUGAUUUGUGAGUAGGUUUUUCAUAUAAUCUGCUUUAUGGCAGGUUGUAAAAAGAUCGGCAAUCUCUAAUACGAUUAAAAAAUCAGAAAUGAAAUGGCAUUGCUAAAUGGUCACGAGUUGAUCAAUUACUUUCAGGUUUUGGUUUUUCAUUGCAAAACCAAAAUAUUUUGACAACAUUCAACAGAAUUUAAAAUAACAAUGACAGGGCGGAUUUAUGGCAUUAUGACGUUAAUGCCAACGGUAAUCAAUCGUCCGCUUGUUUGCGCCACAUUGGCUGAUCAAAGCCAUAGCAUCAAGCAACAUUGAUCACCGUGUUCGACCGAUUGGUAGAAGAAGUUAAAAUACCCAAAAUAAAUCGAAUCGAUGAAGUGCAGCACGCACGACCGGCGAGGAACCCGCACGUGUUCGAGGAGCAAUGGUCAAGCACGGUAACCUAAUUUCGCUUAACCUUGUUGGAUGGAUAAAAGCUUGGUUUAAAAAAAGGAAGGACAUGUUUAAGUUAAGUUAAUAAUCUGUGCACUCUGAGUGGAAGCUAUCCGUCGGAUAACUAUGUAAUUGUUUAGGUCUUUUCCCCCUCAUUUCCUUGCCGUAAUGAAUAGGCUCCUACAGCUCUAUGUGUUUCCCCCUAUGUUCAGCGGGAAGGAGACAGGUUUGAUUUCAGUAUUCUUCUCUCGCACAUCUAACGAAUCGGCUUUGGAACAUGCCUCCAAGACACACGUGUUCGAGUUUGCAACAGAGACUCUGGAAAUAGGUCAGGUUAGAUUGUUUAUUUUUUAUGCAUGGGUCUGUAAUCUGUAAGCUUAACCGCUAAUUUUAACAUCAAAGUAAAACUUGACAGUAACGUUCUGAAUGAAAAAAGAAAUACCUUUAUAAAAUAUAUACGCCCCCCCCCCCCCGAAAAAAAAUCACUUUGAAAAAAAAUAUUUUGAUUCCAGUCUAAUAGAUGUACCUGAUGUCUUAAAACCUGAUAGAAAAAAGAAAAUUUGGCAGCGAUGAUGAAAAGGGAUAGGAUACCCACACAGUGGCAGCAUGAGCGGCGAUAACGCCACAAAUGGCAGCGGGGUUGUGGACCCGGACAAAGAGUUCUACGAGCUGGCAGUCUUCAUCAAUGGCGAGAUCCUAUAUCCAUGUAUAUGUAUUCCCGGGUUACUCGGAAACAUCCUCACGCUUGUGGUUCUAUCUAAGGCGAACAUGCUUUCCUCGACCAAUGCUUUCCUGAGCGCUUUAGCCGUGUCGGACAUGGUCAGUCUAAUCAACGAUAUAAUCUACUUCUCAGUCAUGGUGCUGUCCAAUUCAUGUCCAGAUAUUGCUUACCACAUUUACGUUCACUUCUAUCCUUUCGCACAUUUUGUGUUCAACAUAGCGAACUCUGUGUCGUCCUGGCUUACCGUUUCUGUUGCCAUAGAACGCUUUUUGCUGGUUUGUUUUCCCGCCAAAUCUCGAACAAUGUGCACUAGACCACGCGCUAUUGCUGGAGCUGUCAUCAUUAACGUUGUCAUGUUAACUGUAUCAAUGCCAUAUGCCUUCCGAUACAAAACAGUUCAAGUUUUCGACGAUCUGAAAAACCAAACUUCUCUGAAGCUCAAUUUGACAAGUCUGUGGCAGGGAGAUACCUUUUCUGUGUACUAUUCUUGGAGUAUAAACUUUCUCAGGUGCAACAUUCCACUUACUCUAUUGAUCAUCCUGAAUGCCUGCAUUAUCAAAGCACUCCUUAAACUCCGUGCCAAAAACAGAUCGCGAUACAUUCAUCGACAGAAGGUGACAUUUAUGCUGGUGAUUAUAAUUAUGAAGUUUCUCCUCUGUACCACCCCUGACGCCAUUUUGUCGACGUUUUACAAGUAUGGAUACACCGAGGACAAUUUCAGAGUUCGCGGAAUCCGAGAGUUUACGGACAUGCUUCUGGCUUUCAACGCGGCGACUAAUUUUGUUGUCUAUUGUGUUUUAAGCGUGACAUUUCGGAUGAAUUGCAAAAAACUGUUUUGUCACAAGGAAGUCCCAGCCGGCGAUGGAGGAGAUAGGAGAUCCGUGUACAAGCUAUUGUCGGACAGAUCAAUAUUUUGGAAACAAAACAAAAAAAGCAGUUGUGGCCUUUGAGGUUGGGACAAGGAUCAUGCCAAUGUCCUAUGAAGUGAUAGGUGGCUUUUUGUUCUCAUUGAAUUAUUUGUUCCAUCCUCGCUUGUUCUAAAAUCUAUUCUAAGCCAGGUCUUUGUUUGCCUAAUGGGACAGAAAUAAUUUCACGAGUAAAGGAUGAAUUAUGAAACUAAACGUGUGAAGGCUUAAUGUCUCUACACAUGCAUUUUUCAACUGAAUUUUUUUAAAGAAUACAAAUAGAUAUUCCAGUUAAUAAAUAAAUCUGUUAUCAAAUGUCAGAUUAUGAUUGCGGUAUGACACCAGAAAUAUGCUACUGAAUGCAAUCUGCUGUUCCAGCGUUACUGAUACAUGUAUCAAUACUGUAAGCGAAUCAAGCUUUAGCCUCAACCAUAUUUUGGAGAUAGAUUUUUGAACAAGACUUAGUCAUUGUCAGUUUAAUGGCAUUAUACAUGGCACAUUGCAAUGUGUUUGCCGCGGCCCGAAAAUUGCUGUUUGCCAAAAUAUUUCAAUAAAUUAAAUACCCAACUAACGUUAUUAGAUAUGUUAACAGUGGCCUCAAUUCCCAGUUUUUAUCAAUCCCCUUGUUUCAAAUGUUUAAAAUCCUUGUAACAUGUAUUUAUUUAAUACCAUAUCGAAAAAUGAUAAAAAUUAUUUGCAUUUGCAAACUAAAAUCCUUCAGGAACAAUAUAUUUCCCUUUAUAUAAUGUGUCUUUCUCAAGCUGUUGUUGAUACAUCGUUGUGAUACUAGUAUAUACUGUUCUAUGGUUGAACAUACAUUGAAUGUGAAAUAAAUUUGAAUAUUUUUUUUAAUAAAACGUGGAACAUUU